UUCAGGCUGGAGCUGAUGAUGCCACACAGAAAAUAGACUCUACUUAGAAAUGAAACUCAACUAAAGGUAAAAGUUGUCAGGAACAUCUCCAAGAAAGCCAGAGUCAGCCUCUAAACUUUGCAUCAAGAACGCAAUGGCUUCCCUGAGGGCCCAGGGACGCGUGGCAGCUGUGAGGCAGCCCCUUCUCUGCUGUCGAGGAACUGGACACUUCUCCUGUCCCUUCCCACAAGAUAUAAAAGAUUCAGGACGUAGUGCUCGUGGUUGGGGUCGGGGACAUGGCAAGACAGGAGCGGAAGAGAGAGACGGAGAAGACGCAGGGGAACUGCAUCUGCCUCUGCUGCUCAGGAACAGCGUUGAGACCGGCGCAGGGACCAUGGGUGGGAGAGUCCUGAUGUACUCAAUGGGCUUCCUGGAGCUCCUGCAACCCCAGGCAUUAGUUCCGGUGCAGUUCUAGGAUCAGAUCAAUUCACUCGACAACAAGAGAAACAAAUGGAGAUUCCUACACAAAGACUUUCAAGCACAAAGAAAUCCUGCUGCCUGUAAAGCGGAGCUGCCUCAGCCCUUGAUGAACGACAGAAAAUACCACCUACUGCCAGACCUCAACGCCUCACAAAACUCUCACCCACCUACUGCUUUUAGCUCACAUUCCAGGAAUUCAGAUGAAGUGAAGUGCUCUCAUGGGGACCAGGCAUGGUUAUGCCAGUCCACUGCCCUGCAAGCCUCAAGGGAAGCCAACUGCCCUUCAGCAAGUCACACCUGCCUUGGUGGAGGCCUUGAUUGGAAGUGCCACACGCUACAUGUCCAGUCCUGAGCGGGAGAAUCGGUGUAGGGACGUUCUGGGGAUGCCAGCUGUGGCCAGAUCAGGUCCAACUACAGAAGAAUAAUGAAGACUCCACCUGAGGGCUGGAAAAACAAAACCUCAAGUGUGAGGCAGCCAACCUGUUACCUCGAGGGACUGUUCCGCAGCACAGCGGGGCCAUGGGAACAGCAGCAGACACCCCGACCUCCUCGCUACCUGUGUGUGUAUUAACACGCCGGCCUCCUCG
rnacentral:lncRNA from 10 species